rnacentral:rRNA from 1 species
ACGGGAGGCAGCAGUAGGGAAUCUUCCGCAAUGGACGAAAGUCUGACGGAGCAACGCCGCGUGAGUGAUGAAGGUUUUCGGAUCGUAAAGCUCUGUUGUUAGGGAAGAACAAGUACCGUUCGAAUAGGGCGGUACCUUGACGGUACCUAACCAGAAAGCCACGGCUAACUACGUGCCAGCAGCCGCGGUAAUACGUAGGUGGCAAGCGUUGUCCGGAAUUAUUGGGCGUAAAGGGCUCGCAGGCGGUUUCUUAAGUCUGAUGUGAAAGCCCCCGGCUCAACCGGGGAGGGUCAUUGGAAACUGGGGAACUUGAGUGCAGAAGAGGAGAGUGGAAUUCCACGUGUAGCGGUGAAAUGCGUAGAGAUGUGGAGGAACACCAGUGGCGAAGGCGACUCUCUGGUCUGUAACUGACGCUGAGGAGCGAAAGCGUGGGGAGCGAACAGGAUUAGAUACCCUGGUAGUCCACGCCGUAAACGAUGAGUGCUAAGUGUUAGGGGGUUUCCGCCCCUUAGUGCUGCAGCUAACGCAUUAAGCACUC